GGGGCUGCAAAUGUUCAUUCACCAAAGCAUUCUCCAGGCUCCUCAACUGACAGAGGACGCCAUCCCUGCUUCUUAAGGUGAGAAGAUUGAGGCCUGGAGGAAUCGCCUGUAAGCCCCAGAUUCCUGGCUGAUUGGCAGAGGAGACAGCACUCUGGCUGCAGAGCUCUGGCGAGGUGAGAUGUUGCCUCUCCAUGCCAAGACUAAUUGGAAUCAAUUUUUAGCCAUUCUCAACAUUCUUUUUUCCUGCUCUCAUCUGCCAUUAAUAAUCUGAGGGUACUCUGGUGAAUUUUCCCUUUUGAACCAUUUGUUAAAGUCCGAAAGGUGAAUGAGGCUUAAUAAAUUUUCCUCCAUUCGUUAAAUUUCGACCUCACAGUCUAGUGAUGAUUUUUCCAGGGGUAGUGCUAAAUGAAUACUGUUUUGAAAGAGAUCAGUUUUAUUUGAUCUCUUUAUAAAUUGCUUAUCUCUUAAAAAAUUAGGGAAGAACCUUUUAUAACACUGCCAUUCCCCCAGGUAAAUCCAGCCUUUCUCAAUACUCUCUCCACAUCAUUUAUUCUACAGGCUCUGGGGUCUGAAUCAAGUGCUAUCUCGUUAUGCAACACAGUGGAGCAUCACAGCUCCUAAGAAAGAAGCAACCUUUCCUCUCAUCCUUUGAUAACCUCAAUACUAUCAACUACCAGGGGCUUCCAACAAACUUCAACUUCACACUCCAUGCAGGAGUGGUUACCCUGCCCUCAGUCUGAACUGAUGCUUAAAAUCACAGCCUGAAAGUUCUUAUUUGAUCAACCUUGUUAAAAAAUUGUUUCAAAACAAGAUUUUACAUUUUAUUUUGUUUACAAAGAAAUAUCACUACUUGAGGUGUUUUUUUUGUUGUUGUUGUUUUAAAACCACCAACAUCCAAAAAACAACCCCAAAACUUUUAAGGUCACUGCUAUCCUAGGAGUUUCUCCCGAUUGGAAGCGGGAAGGGUUUUAAAAUCAAGCUCUCUCUGGUCAGAUGAGGACCUAAAAAGCUGGGAAGCGCAACGUGCUUCUGGUGAAACUGUGAUGUUAUUGGCCAAAAACUUCCCUCCCUCCUAGCCCCGGCAGGAAGCAGGCCCAAGGCUCUGCUCCUAAGGCUGCAUGCAGAGCGCCCUCCUUCCCCACUGUGCUGGGGGGAGAGCCCACCAGGCUGGCCUCCGAGCAGCAGCGCUUACCUGGGUACAGUGUGCCCGGAAGGCCCAUGCUUUCCAAGUAGUUGUGGCAGCGCUCUUUAUGUUCCUCUAAAGAGCUUCGCUGUUUAUAGCUUCGGCCACAAUAUCCACAUUUGUGAGGUUUACCAACUGCAGAAAACACAAUUGAGUUCAAGACCCCAAUUAAAUGCCAGCCUUCUGUGUAAGGGGAAUGCAUGCAAUACAAUCAUUACCAAAAAAGUUAAAAAAAAAAUUCUACUCUUGAGAGCUAAAAGUGUUACGGACUUGGUGAAAAUUCCUGAAUUUAAAAAUGUUGGUGGCCAAGGGUUUCUUUCAUUGUACCAAGAACUCAUGCGACUCUUGUUUUGUCUUAGUUUGUCUAUUUCACUGACUACCAAAUUCUCUCCUGCUUCAAUCACGGAAGCCUAGCCUUUAACUGGAGAAAAAGAGCCACUGCCGUGUUAUAACGUGGAUACCAGCGACUGGACAGAGAUGUGAGGAAGGCCCGUGUGUUGGCCACAUUGUCUGCAGGUUUGCCUCCAGAGUAGGCCUCAGUCUAUGCUGUGGGCCGGAUCUGCCAUGACGCUGGUGCUACAUCUAACACAGCCAGAGUGAAUUCAGUUCCAGGUGAACAGAAGCUACAGUAAGAAGACCAACAGGAAAGCCAAAAUUUGACUCUGGACCAUUUAAUAGAGAAUGAAAAGGAUCUUUCUUUAUCUAUAUAAAGUGAUGUACCCCCAACAUAAGGAAAUAAUGUUGAAACACAGAAUAUUGCCUAAAAUUGCACAUUUUAUUGAGCAUUGCUUUUAGAAAUUAAUAGGAUAUAGAUAACCACUCGAUACCCUUUCCUGAAAAAGCUAUGACUUCAGUAAAUUCCAUGAUCAAAUUGCUU